ensembl:lncRNA
AAACUUUAUCGCCUUUUUUACAAUGCAAUGGCUGGCUGAAGUUUUGAAAGAAAGCGUCCUGAAAGCUGAGACCUUUAUUUUAAAGUAAUAUGUGCUUCCUUGCGCUGGAGAGAGAGGGUGCAGCAACGUCAUAUGGCCACAUCAGAGCAGGAUGACUCACUUGAGAGGGGCCUGGAGCGUCAGCAGGCACUUUGUGGACACGUUGAGACAGGCUCUCCCCAAAAUCCAGCAGAGUGGGUGCUUUGGUUAAGUUAGGACUCUCGUUUAAAUAAGGCAUGUAUGAGGACAAGACUUGACUAAGGCGGAGCCUUUUAUAAUCAAUGAAGUGGCACAUUUGAAAGAAAAUUUCUAAGCGCAUGCAUUCUAAAAGCAAUUUGUGAUCCUUGCUAAAUCUUUCAAGUGGAUCUCAGUGUAUACAGUGGCUGUGGUUACAGUUAUGGAUGCACAGUUUUGUUUCAGGCUGAAUUAGAGGAUUUAAUUUUGUGGCAUUGUUCCUUCUGCAGUGCUGUACCCUAUUUAUCGGCCUUUUGCACCUUAAUAAGAAAGAAGCAAGAUUUGAAUGCACUUUGUUACUGAGGGGGCACUUUUUAGGCAAAAGAAACGGGUACUUUUAAACAAAAGAGCAAAUGUGCUGAGCAAAACGGCCCAUCCAAGUGGUGAUACUUGGUAGUUGUUGUUUUUUUAUUGUAAUUAUUAUUUUGGCUUGUUCAUAAGUGUUCAUUUUGUUUAGGUCUUGACACCGAGCUGCCAAAAAGUGCAGUCACUAAAGAGAAAGAAAAGGGUGAAGAUUUUGAUUGAUUUAAAUUGUUGAUGAGUAACAAAGAAUAGUAAUGAAGAUUAUAUGGAGAUUUCAUAUAUAUAUAUGAAAGCAUAAUGAUUAAUUGCACUUAAAGUUGAUUAAAAAAGUUCUCUAUUUUGUUUUAAUACAGAAGAGAGUACAGAUGUGGAAGCAUCUGCAGGGAUUUAUGAUAAUUAUCUACAACUACAUACUCCUCCUGUUUAGUUUCUGUCAGUGCAUUAUAUGUUGAGUUUCGCUGGUCAAGUGUCGUGUUCACUUUAAAUUUGUUGUUGAAGGCCACACCCUAAGCAUCACACUACUGUACGUUACGAAGAAAGUUUUUGUAUGACUGGACGACAUGGCAGAAUUAAUCCUUCUGGAAAUUCCAGUGUGUGAGCUUGUGUUUUUUCACACCCCAAAACGCUCAGUUAAUAAUACAUCACAUGCCUGCAAGGGUGUGUGGUAACACAUUGACCUAGACCAUCUCUUAUCAACUGUUUCACUCAUCGCCUGCGUUCAUCCCAUACGAAGUUCACAGUAGCUUUUAGAUUUGUUUCCAGGAUGUAUAUAUACCUAUGCCACGGCCCAAAUUUAUUCUCUCAUUAGAGAAGCAGAAGUUGAAGUUGGAAUUGUUGUGGAAAAAGCCUACUUGAGUUCCCUUUCUGUCUAUUUUUUUUCUGUGCUAUUAAGUGUGAGCGUUUCAAAUCUGCAAUGCUUUCUUUUGUUUUAUUGUAAAAUGUGUUGCUGCAGCUUGUUUGUGUUCUAGGAAAGAUAAUGCUAGCUGUGUUUGUGGGGUUUUGGGUGAAAUGGAGGGGGACUGGAGAACCGGGCAAGGCCUUUGAGUUUCUGUGAACACAGAGUCUGUUUAAUCUCCACUUCACUUCCCUAUACUUACAUCUGCAAUUAACUCUUUGAAAACCAAAGUAGGGAAAGACUAGGAUUACUUGAAGACUAUUCUCAGCCAUUAGAAGAAAGAGGUGAAUCUUACGUUUUCAACAACAGCGUAAACAAAACAAAUUCCUAGGCGAGUGUAGGUCAAGAGUCCAAAGCAACUCCAACAGAAAUAAGCAGCUUGAGGAAAGACACAGUAUUCAUGGAAUGGCUUAUUUCCAACAGUUAACAGGAUCAAACCCUAAGCAUCUGUGUCUACGUAGAAGUUU